CCCGGGCCUUGUACACACCGCCCGUCACACCAUGGGAGCUGACUCAACCAGAAAACGAUCAGGCUAACCGUAAGGGGGCCUUCGUUGAAGGUGGGGGUUGGUGACUGGGGUG
rnacentral:rRNA from 1 species